rnacentral:rRNA from 1 species
GACGAACGCUGGCGGCGUGCCUAAUACAUGCAAGUAGAACGCUGAGGAGAGGAGCUUGCUCUUCUUGGAUGAGUUGCGAACGGGUGAGUAACGCGUAGGUAACCUACCUUGUAGCGGGGGAUAACUAUUGGAAACGAUAGCUAAUACCGCAUAACAAUGGAUGACACAUGUCAUUUAUUUGAAAGGGGCAAUUGCUCCACUACAAGAUGGACCUGCGUUGUAUUAGCUAGUAGGUGAGGUAAUGGCUCACCUAGGCGACGAUACAUAGCCGACCUGAGAGGGUGAUCGGCCACACUGGGACUGAGACACGGCCCAGACUCCUACGGGAGGCAGCAGUAGGGAAUCUUCGGCAAUGGGGGCAACCCUGACCGAGCAACGCCGCGUGAGUGAAGAAGGUUUUCGGAUCGUAAAGCUCUGUUGUAAGUCAAGAACGGGUGUGAGAGUGGAAAGUUCACACUGUGACGGUAGCUUACCAGAAAGGGACGGCUAACUACGUGCCAGCAGCCGCGGUAAUACGUAGGUCCCGAGCGUUGUCCGGAUUUAUUGGGCGUAAAGCGAGCGCAGGCGGUUUGAUAAGUCUGAAGUUAAAGGCUGUGGCUCAACCAUAGUUCGCUUUGGAAACUGUCAAACUUGAGUGCAGAAGGGGAGAGUGGAAUUCCAUGUGUAGCGGUGAAAUGCGUAGAUAUAUGGAGGAACACCGGUGGCGAAAGCGGCUCUCUGGUCUGUAACUGACGCUGAGGCUCGAAAGCGUGGGGAGCGAACAGGAUUAGAUACCCUGGUAGUCCACGCCGUAAACGAUGAGUGCUAGGUGUUGGAUCCUUUCCGGGAUUCAGUGCCGCAGCUAACGCAUUAAGCACUCCGCCUGGGGAGUACGACCGCAAGGUUGAAACCCAAAGGAAUUGACGGGGGCCCGCACAAGCGGUGGAGCAUGUGGUUUAAUUCGAAGCAACGCGAAGAACCUUACCAGGUCUUGACAUCCCGAUGCUAUUUCUAGAGAUAGAAAGUUACUUCGGUACAUCGGUGACAGGUGGUGCAUGGUUGUCGUCAGCUCGUGUCGUGAGAUGUUGGGUUAAGUCCCGCAACGAGCGCAACCCCUAUUGUUAGUUGCCAUCAUUCAGUUGGGCACUCUAGCGAGACUGCCGGUAAUAAACCGGAGGAAGGUGGGGAUGACGUCAAAUCAUCAUGCCCCUUAUGACCUGGGCUACACACGUGCUACAAUGGUUGGUAUAACGAGUUGCGAGUCGGUGACGGCGAGCUAAUCUCUUAAAGCCAAUCUCAGUUCGGAUUGUAGGCUGCAACUCGCCUACAUGAAGUCGGAAUCGCUAGUAAUCGCGGAUCAGCACGCCGCGGUGAAUACGUUCCCGGGCCU